rnacentral:misc_RNA from 1 species
GAUGAAGAACGUAGCGAAAUGCGAUAACUAAUGUGAAUUGCAGAAUUCCGUGAAUCAUCGAGUCUUUGAACGCACAUUGCGCCCCCUGGUAUUCCGGGGGGCAUGCCUGUCCGAGCGUCAUUGCUGCCCAUCAAGCACGGCUUGUGUGUUGGGUCCUCGUCCCCCCCGGGGGACGUGCCCGAAAGGCAGCGGCGGCACCGCGUCCGGUCCUCGAGCGUAUGGGGCUUUGUCACCCGCUCUGCAGGCCCGGCCGGCGCUGGCCGACGCGAAAGCAACCAUUUUUUCUCCAGGUUGACCUCGGAUCAGGUAGGGAUAGCCGCUGAACUUAAGCAUAUCAAUAAGCGGAGGA